CGCAUAGGGACUGGCAGCCGAGUCCCCACCUAGCGAAAACUAGGUGGGGUAAGGUGCGCCAGCAACCCCCCGAGCAUAUCGCCGGGCCACCCUGCCUUUUGAGCACCAUUUCGUUUCCUCGGCGGGCUUGCCCGCCACUGGGGACCCUCAACAACCUUUUGUAAUGAGAAGUAACAGUAUCAUAAAAAAAUUAAUCA
rnacentral:misc_RNA from 1 species